GUCUAUGGCCAUGCCACCCUGAACGUGCCCGAUCCCGUCUAAUCUCGGAAGCUAAGCAGGGUUGGGCCUGAUUAGUACUUGGAUGAGAGAUCACCUAGGAAUACCAGGUGGUGGAGGUG
rnacentral:rRNA from 1 species